rnacentral:lncRNA from 1 species
ACAGAAGGAAGAUAUGUGAAAACAGCAGGCAUGGCGUAUGGGAACUUAAGCCACAGAGAGAGACCUGAGCUGACACCAGCCCUGACCCCUGAUCUCAGACUCCCAGGAUAUUGAAUUUUGCAGCCAGCCUGCUGGAUCGCAUUUGUUUUUGGAUUGAUUGCAUUCAUCUUUCAGAACAGCUUCUCUGCUCCUUUGACAGACAGUUGUGGGGGUCAGCUACGGUGAAAAAGAACCUGACAACAGCAGGCCUUCUCUGUUUGUCUUCUUAGAAUGCUACAGUAACAUCAAUCCGUCUAGAGGUCUGACUGAAAG